rnacentral:rRNA from 1 species
CAUCCUACGGGAGGCAGCAGUGGGGGAUAUUGCACAAUGGGGGAAACCCUGAUGCAGCGACGCCGCGUGGGCGAAGAAGUAUUUCGGUAUGUAAAGCCCUAUCAGCAGGGAAGAAGAAAUGACGGUACCUGAGUAAGAAGCCCCGGCUAACUACGUGCCAGCAGCCGCGGUAAUACGUAGGGGGCAAGCGUUAUCCGGAUUUACUGGGUGUAAAGGGAGCGUAGACGGCAGUGCAAGUCUGAAGUGAAAGGCGGGGGCCCAACCCCCGGACUGCUUUGGAAACUGUGCUGCUGGAGUGCAGGAGG